rnacentral:rRNA from 1 species
GACGAACGCUGGCGGCGUGCUUAACACAUGCAAGUCGAACGGAAAGGCCCUGCUUUUGUGGGGUGCUCGAGUGGCGAACGGGUGAGUAACACGUGAGUAACCUGCCCUUGACUUUGGGAUAACUUCAGGAAACUGGGGCUAAUACCGGAUAGGAGCUCCUGCUGCAUGGUGGGGGUUGGAAAGUUUCGGCGGUUGGGGAUGGACUCGCGGCUUAUCAGCUUGUUGGUGGGGUAGUGGCUUACCAAGGCUUUGACGGGUAGCCGGCCUGAGAGGGUGACCGGCACAAUGGGACUGAGGGAGGGACCAGACGGCUACGGGAGGCAACCGGCGGGAGAUUUGUCCAAUAGGGGGGAGUCUGAGGCAACGAACGCGGGGUCGGGAUGACGGCCUUCGGGUUGUAAACCGCUUUCGCCUGUGACGAAGCGUGAGUGACGGUAAUGGGUAAAGAAGCACCGGCUAACUACGUG